UUCAAUUACAUCCAGAUCUAAAAAAAACCCAUUUCCUUUCUCUUCAACUCAACCCUACACCACCACCACCACUCCACCACACACUAUCACCCACCGUCACCACCACCACUGCCAUAACCACCACGACAAGUGCCGCCGCCUUAACCACCAACAACAACAACACCGAUCUUGCAACCAUUUCUUAUCUUGCACCGUCGUCACUACCCACCACCCUUGACCCACACGAAUCACUACCCACUUCUGAUGUACCCACCCCAACCUCCAGCAACAACCACCUGCACCAUCUCAAGCAACACCAUGCGAAAAGUCAUACCCGAUGGAGUGAAUCUUCGAUAAAAUUUAUAAUCAGUAAAUCGAAAGGAUAAGAUCUGAACUAAAAUGAAAUUGAAUAAGGAAAUCGAGAAGAGGAAUGAACCCAUGAAAGUAGAUGUCAGAUCUGGAGAUUUUCAAAAACAACUUUAUUGCGUUUUUCUCAAUUUUGAAUAAUGGACUUUGGUUGGUGUAAAAGGAAUCUUCUGGCUUGACUUUAGAGGGAAAAUUGUGAAGGGGUGUAUUGGCAAAUGCUUAGGACUAAAGUGUGAAGACUGGAUACAUAAAGGGCUAAAGUGAAAGUAUCUUUUGUCUUGGGUAUAUAAGUGAAAGUCCAGUAUUCAUUACUGGUUUAACACUUCAAGAUUUUUCUGUUGACUCUCUCAUCUUGUGCGAUUUGGGUAUGUUCCCUUUGUUCAGAUCGGUUGUGAUCCUGUUGAUCUCUUGUAGUUGUAGUAGGUUGAGAUCAUGAUCAUUUCUUUUGUAUUGUUCAAAGAUCUUAUACAGGGCCGGCCCAGAGGGUGUGGAGGGUGUUCUACCGCUCUAGGCCCAAAAAAAUUAGGGACCAAAACUUUUUUCUAUUCAGUUUACCCUUAAAUAAAAGAAUUACCAACUCAUAUAAUUACGUAAGUUGUAUAUGGUGUAGAUGGGUGCCUGCUUGCAUCCUUAUCCAAGAGAUUCAGGUUCGAAGCAUGCCAAUUCCGUACUUUUUUUGUUCAAUUCAAACCGACUUUUUAACUUUGUAAGGAUGUCGGUGGAUAUUAGACCCUUUAUAGUGGUUUUUUUUUUUUUUAAAUUAGUUUCAUCAAAAAAUAAAGCAAACUGUGGUUAUUCGAUUCAUUUUGUUUCAAUUAAGUUUAAUUGUUUUUCUUAUAAAAAAUGAUUGUUCAAGUUACAUUUUUAUAUCAAAAUUGUUCAAUUUAUUCUUUUAUUGAGGUAAACAUGUAAUUACUUAAAAUAAUGGUGCUUUGAGUCCGCAUGUAUUCACCCUAUUUUGACCGACCCAUAUCUUGCCCCUUACUCAAAAUUCAUGUAUUCAUCACUGGUUCUGGUUCAAGCUUAAUUUGCAUGUAGAAAGAAGUAAGGGAAGUGUGAGAAAAAAACAACAAUCUUUUGUUGGUAUACUUUGAUUUAUAAAAAAAUAGGCCCUUAUACGUAAAUAACAUGAUCUAGGGUUCUAUUUUUGUUUACUCGCACAGGGCCUAUGAGGACCUUCGAGUUUUAAGGGACGACCCUGGCUUUGCCAAUGUUUAGACUUUGAUUAUAUGAAUGUAUGGAGAUUUGCAAAUAGGGCCCAAAUUUUUUAUCUUGCACAGGGCCAUUUUUUUUUUUUUUUUUUUUGUGAUUUUCGGAGACGGCCCUGAUCUUACAUAUUGUAAUAUCUAGGGUUUUGGGGGUGUUUUCUAGUUUGGAUAAUCAAUAAAAGUUUUGCCACUAUUA